rnacentral:misc_RNA from 1 species
AUAAUUCAAAUUUAUACGUCGAUAAUGGACUUGUAUGGAACGGGGAACUAUUUAAGUCCGAAGAUUAUCCGUACGUAAUGUUUAUUCAGUUGAAAAAUUCUGAAGGAAAACUUGGUCGUUGCACAGGCUCUUUAGUAAAAAAAAUGUUGGUAUUGACAGCUGGUCACUGUUGUUAUAGUUACGAAUUAAAUAACAUAAAACUAAGUAUGACUUCAUUGAAUUUCAAUUGUAUUUAAUUACCUACGUAAUUUAUGAUCCACUAAAAUAUUUUAAAUUCUUAAGCAACUAAUUUAUAAAUGUCAAAAUAGGUAUAUCAAGGAUCAAUGUAUAAGGAUCGUCACUAUACUCUUAAUAAUGACUGGCAUGAUGUUGUCAAAAAGUACGUACACGAAAAAUAUAUUCCAGGUACAGAUACCGAUGGAUAUGACGUCUGUUUGUUAAAAGUGAUUCAAGACCUUGUGAAGGGGAUAGUGGAGGUCCGAUGAUUUGCAACAAUUUGCAAUAUGGAACUUGCGGUUUUAAAUAUCCCGUCGAUGGAACGAUCCAUGCAAACUGUAGCAAUCGAAAUUUGCAGUCGAUUUAUGUGUUCUUUUAUUCUCAUAAACAAUGGUUAAAGAAUAUAAUGGGACCAACAAAAAAGAAGAAAGAAAAAAGAAAACGAAGUUCUGGGAAUUUGAUUAAGCCACGUCAUUACUCAUUGUAUAUAAUAUUAACAAUAUCAUUGUGUAAUAUUAUGUUGAUUUUUAUUGAUUAA